rnacentral:rRNA from 1 species
UACGUAGGAGGCAAGCGUUGUCCGGAAUUACUGGGCGUAAAGCGCGUGUAGGCGGUCUGAAUAGUCUGCUGUGAAAGCGCCUGGCUUAACCGGGCGAGGUCGGCGGAAACUCUCAGACUGGAGGCCGGUAGAGGGGGGUGGAAUUCCCGGUGUAGUGGUGAAAUGCGCAGAUAUCAGGAGGAACACCGGUGGCGAAGGCGGUUCUCUGGGCAUGUUCUGACGCUGAGGAGCGAAAGUGUGGGGAGCGAACAGG